rnacentral:lncRNA from 1 species
GCACAGGCCCUACCCUGCUGCAUACGUAUCUCAAGAAGGAUUGAGAAUCAGAGCACCGUAGCUCGGCUAACCUAUUUUUGUUUGUUUUUUGUGAUGAAUGACGUUACUACACAAUCUACCGGAUGCUCGACCUUUGGAGACUUACUCACCUGUAGUAGAAGGAGUUAACGUGUUCUUAGGAGAAGAAAAAUCAAUGAGUUUGUUUGUU